CCUACGGGGUGCAGCAGUCGAGACUCAUUCACAAUGGGGGAAACCCUGAUGGUGCGACGCCGCGUGGGGGAAUGAAGGUCUUCGGAUUGUAAACCCCUGUCAUGUGGGAGCAAAUUAAAAAGAUAGUACCACAAGAGGAAGAGCCGGCUAACUCUGUGCCAGCAGCCGCGGUAAUACAGAGGUCUCAAGCGUUGUUCGGAAUCACUGGGCGUAAAGCGUGCGUAGGCUGUUUCGGAAGUCGGGUGUGAAAGGCGCGGGCUCAACCCGAGGACGGCAAGUGAUACUGCGAGACUAGAGUAAAGGAGGGGGAACCGGAAUUCUCGGUGUAGCAGUGAAAUGCGUAGAUAUCGAGAGGAACACUCGUGGCGAAGGCGGGUUCCUGGACAUUAACUGACGCUGAGGCACGAAGGCCAGGGGAGCGAAAGGGAUUAGAUACCCUGGUAGUC
rnacentral:rRNA from 1 species